rnacentral:rRNA from 1 species
AGUGAAUGCUGGCGGCGUGCUUCAGACAUGCAAGUCGUACGCGAAAAUUCCUUCGGGAAUCAGUAGAGUGGCGCACGGGUGAGUAACACUUAGGUUACAUACCCUCUCGCUGGGGAUAACCAGGCGAAAGCUUGGCUAAUACCGAAUGAACCGGGUGACCGGUAAAGCCGCAAGGCGCGAGAGGAGUGGCUUAAGUCCCAUCAGCUAGUUGGUAGGGUAACGGCCUACCAAGGCAAUGACGGGUAGCUGGUCUGAGAGGAUGAUCAGCCACACUGGUACUGGAACACGGACCAGACUCCUACGGGAGGCUG